rnacentral:rRNA from 1 species
CUACGAAGGGGGCUAGCGUUGUUCGGAAUUACUGGGCGUAAAGCGCGCGUAGGCGGACGGAUCAGUUGGGGGUGAAAUCCCAGGGCUUAACCCUGGAACUGCCUCCAAUACUGUCAGUCUUGAGUUCGGGAGAGGUGAGUGGAAUUCCUAGUGUAGAGGUGAAAUUCGUAGAUAUUAGGAAGAACACCAGUGGCGAAGGCGGCUCACUGGCCCGAUACUGACGCUGAGGCGCGAAAGCGUGGGGAGCAAACAGGAUUAGAAACCUUAGUAGUCC